rnacentral:lncRNA from 1 species
AUGGAUCAAGCCUAACAAGCCACACGGAUACCGUUUUAAAGGUAAGCAAAACAGGAACCACAUACGAACACCAAGGGCGUACAACGAAAACUGACAAGGAUUACAUGCAAACCGUUCAGUGCAAAAGCACAGAGCCGGCAAACACAAAUAUCCAAAGCACAUCUCACACGCCAACGCGUCAGCAAGACCCAACAUCACCGAACGCACCACGCCCCACAAUGCAAAAGCACUGCAAGCACAUGAAGUCGUCCAACAAUGCCGGAUCCGCAUCGCUAAGCAUGACAAAUUAAACGUGAGGGACAAAACCUGAGGGACGCGUGCUUCCGAGUCGGGACAACUGCAUCGGGGCGUGACUCAUUGAACAGCUAAAUCCAAGGGUUAACUUUAAUCUAGGACCAAAUGAAGGACCAAUAAGAAACCCAACGUAUUUAGAAGCUCAAUGUAGUCACGCCACGAGUCGGGACAACUGCAACGGGACGAGUCGGGACAAAUGCAUCGGGACGAGUCGGGACAACUGCAUCGGGGCAUGACUCAUUGAACAACUAAAUCCAAGGAUUAACUUUAAUCUAGGACCAAAUGAAGGACCAACAAGAAACCCAACGUAUUUAGAAGCUCAAUGUAGUCACGCCACGAGUCGGGACAACUGCAACGGGACGAGUCGGGACAACUGCAUCGGGACGAGUCGGGACAACUGCAUCGGGACGAGUCGGGACAACUGCAUCGGGACGAGUCGGGACAACUGCAUCGGGGCAUGACUCAUUGAACAACUAAAUCCAAGGGUUAACUUUAAUCUAGGACCAAAUGAAGGACCAAUAAGAAACCCAACGUAUUUAGAAGCUCAUUGUAGUCACCCCGCGAAGCCAACCAAGUUCCGAUUUUAGCCCAUCACCCAUGAAUCAUUUUGCCACUGUCUGUGAAGACUGGAGAAAGCACGGGGACUACGCAAGGAACCCAACAACAGCUUGGUUGACACUGGUGAAGGGGCCCCAAUACCUCGAGAGCAUACGAAAUAGCUUACCACAACUAGGACAACAUCUACCCGUGAGAUGCCAAUUCCUGUCCGAGUCAUGUUCACUACCACCUAAACCCGGGGGGAGCAGUCCAUGACUAAGGUGUUAGGGACAUUCCAAGCCAGCCAGCCAAGCUCACGACCACCCCCAGCCAGUUUCAGAGAUGGACGAGGCGCCCCAGGACACCCCGUCCCUGCCACAGUCACAAAAAGUGACUAUUGCCCAAAGAUGUCCAAGCCAGUCACGCCCAGCAAGAGCUGGCAAAAAGUGUCCGAGAGCUGGCAAAAAGUGUCCGAGAGCUCACAAAAAGUGUCCGAGAGCUCCCAAAAAGUGUCCGAGAGCUGGCAAAAAGUGUCCGAGAGCUCACAAAAAGUGUCCGAGAGCUCACAAAAAGUGUCCGAGAGCUCACAAAAAGUGUCCGAGAGCUCACAAAAAGUGUCCGAGAGCUCACAAAAAGUGUCCGAGAGCUCACAAAAAGUGUCCGAGAGCUCACAAAAAGUGUCCGAGAGCUCACAAAAAGUGUCCGAGAGCUCACAAAAAGUGUCCGAGAGCUGGCAAAAAGUGUCCGAGAGCUCACAAAAAGUGUCCGAGAGCUGGCAAAAAGUGUCCGAGAGCUCACAAAAAGUGUCCGAGCCAGCCCGGGCACACCCUAGUCAUGACCUGCGAGGUCCUCCCCCCAUAUAUGUCUGAAGUGUUUUUUCCAGUUUUGUAGAAAGAGAGCCCUUUUUUGGCUAUAGGAGGAAAACCACUUUUGAGGGACCUAGACUUCGAAUUUUUUCAUGAAAUUUUGCACGAAUGUUCAUCAAUCCAAUAAUAAUAUCCUCAAAAACAUUUGGAAUUUUUUGACAAACGGUGAAUUUUUAAAAAAAUAUAUAAGGCGCACAUUUUCUAGUUCAGGUACCUAGACUUGGAAUUGCUUCUUGAAAUUUUACAGGGACGUUGUCAAUAAUUAAAUAACACUUCCCACAAAAAAUUGGAAUUUUCUGGAAAGGGAUUAUUUAAUUAUAAUUUUUUAAAGUGCAGAAAAUAUUAAAAAUAUUAUUAAAAAAUAUUUAAAAAAUUAAAAAUAUAAUUAUGAUUAAAAUUUAUCAUGGGACUUGCAUCAUAAAACACAUAACAUGGACAUCAAAAAAUUCGUUGAAAACAAAAUUUGGAUUGCGUUACUAAGUGACUCGUGACUAGGGGCUCGUGAGUCGCGACUCGUGACUGGUGACUGGGGACUGGGGGCUCGUGAGUCGCGAAUCGUGACUGGUGACUGGUGACUGGGGAAUGGUGACUGGGGACUGGGGACUGGUGACUGGGGACUGGUGACUGGUGACUGGGGACUGAUGACUGGGGGCUCGUGAAUCGCGACUCGUGACUGGGGGCUCGUGACUGGGGACUGGUGACUGGGGGCUCGUGAGUCGCGACUCGUGACUGGUGACUGGGGACUGGGGGCUCGUGAGUCGCGAAUCGUGACUGGUGACUGGUGACUGGGGAAUGGUGACUGGGGACUGGGGACUGGUGACUGGGGACUGGUGACUGGUGACUGGGGACUGAUGACUGGGGGCUCGUGAAUCGCGACUCGUGACUGGGGGCUCGUGACUGGGGACUGGUGACUGGGGGCUCGUGAAUCGCGACUCGUGACUGGGGGCUCGUGACUGGGGACUGGUGACUGGGGGCUCGUGAAUCGCGACUCGUGACUGGGGGCUCGUGACUGGGGACUGGUGACUGGGGGCUCGUGAAUCGCGACUCGUGACUGGGGGCUCGUGACUGGGGACUGGUGACUGGGGGCUCGUGAGUCGCGACUCGUGACUGGUGACUGGGGACUGGUGACUGGUGACUGGGGACUGAUGACUGGGGGCUCGUGAAUCGCGACUCAUGACUGGGGGCUCGUGACUGGGGACUGGUGACUGGGGGCUCGUGAGUCGCGACUCGUGACUUGUGACUGGUGACUCGUGACUGGUGACUGGGAGCUCGUGAGUCGCGACUCGUGACUGGUGACUGGGGACUGGUGACUAUUGACUGGGGGCUCGUGAGUCGCGACUCGUGACUUGUGACUGGUGACUCGUGACUGGUGACUGGGAGCUCGUGAGUCGCGACUCGUGACUAGUGACUGGUGACUGGGGACUGGUGACUAUUGACUGGGGGCUCGUGAGUCGCGACUCGUGACUUGUGACUGGUGACUCGUGACUGGUGACUGGGAGCUCGUGAGUCGCGACUCGUGACUAGUGACUGGUGACUGGGGACUGGUGACUAUUGACUGGGGGCUCGUGAGUCGCGACUCGUGACUUGUGACUGGUGACUCGUGACUGGUGACUGGGAGCUCGUGAGUCGCGACUCGUGACUAGUGACUGGUGACUGGGGACUGGUGACUAUUGACUGGGGGCUCGUGAGUCGCGACUCGUGACUUGUGACUGGUGACUCGUGACUGGUGACUGGGAGCUCGUGAGUCGCGACUCGUGACUAGUGACUGGUGACUGGGGACUGGUGACUAUUGACUGGGGGCUCGUGAGUCGCGACUCGUGACUUGUGACUGGUGACUCGUGACUGGUGACUGGGAGCUCGUGAGUCGCGACUCGUGACUAGUGACUGGUGACUGGGGACUGGUGACUAUUGACUGGGGGCUCGUGAGUCGCGACUCGUGACUUGUGACUGGUGACUCGUGACUGGUGACUGGGAGCUCGUGAGUCGCGACUCGUGACUAGUGACUGGUGACUGGGGACUGGUGACUAUUGACUGGGGGCUCGUGAGUCGCGACUCGUGACUUGUGACUGGUGACUCGUGACUGGUGACUGGGAGCUCGUGAGUCGCGACUCGUGACUAGUGACUGGUGACUGGGGACUGGUGACUGGGGACUGGUGACUGGGGACUGGUGACUGGGGACUGGUGACUGGGGACUGGUGACUGGGGACUGGUGACUGGGGACUGGUGACUGGGGACUGGUGACUGGGGACUGGUGACUGGGGACUGGUGACUGGGGACUGGUGACUGGGGACUGGUGACUGGGGACUGGUGACUGGGGACUGGUGACUGGGGACUGGUGACUGGGGACUGGUGACUAUUGACUGGGGGCUCGUGAGUCGCGACUCGUGACUAGUGACUGGUGACUGGGGACUGGUGACUGGGGACUGGUGACUGGGGACUGGUGACUGGGGACUGGUGACUGGGGACUGGUGACUGGGGACUGGUGACUGGGGACUGGUGACUGGGGACUGGUGACUGGGGACUGGUGACUGGGGACUGGUGACUGGGGACUGGUGACUGGGGACUGGUGACUGGGGACUGGUGACUAUUGACUGGGGGCUCGUGAGUCGCGACUCGUGACUUGUGACUGGUGACUCGUGACUGGUGACUGGGAGCUCGUGAGUCGCGACUCGUGACUAGUGACUGGUGACUGGGGACUGGUGACUGGGGACUGGUGACUGGGGACUGGUGACUGGGGACUGGUGACUGGGGACUGGUGACUGGGGACUGGUGACUGGGGACUGGUGACUGGGGACUGGUGACUGGGGACUGGUGACUGGGGACUGGUGACUGGGGACUGGUGACUGGGGACUGGUGACUAUUGACUGGGGGCUCGUGAGUCGCGACUCGUGACUUGUGACUGGUGACUCGUGACUGGUGACUGGGAGCUCGUGAGUCGCGACUCGUGACUAGUGACUGGUGACUGGGGACUGGUGACUAUUGACUGGGGGCUCGUGAGUCGCGACUCGUGACUUGUGACUGGUGACUCGUGACUGGUGACUGGGAGCUCGUGAGUCGCGACUCGUGACUAGUGACUGGUGACUGGGGACUGGUGACUGGGGACUGGUGACUGGGGACUGGUGACUGGGGACUGGUGACUAUUGACUGGGGGCUCGUGAGUCGCGACUCGUGACUUGUGACUGGUGACUCGUGACUGGUGACUGGGAGCUCGUGAGUCGCGACUCGUGACUAGUGACUGGUGACUGGGGACUGGUGACUGGGGACUGGUGACUGGGGACUGGUGACUGGGGACUGGUGACUGGGGACUGGUGACUGGGGACUGGUGACUGGGGACUGGUGACUGGGGACUGGUGACUGGGGACUGGUGACUGGGGACUGGUGACUAUUGACUGGGGGCUCGUGAGUCGCGACUCGUGACUUGUGACUGGUGACUCGUGACUGGUGACUGGGAGCUCGUGAGUCGCGACUCGUGACUAGUGACUGGUGACUGGGGACUGGUGACUAUUGACUGGGGGCUCGUGAGUCGCGACUCGUGACUUGUGACUGGUGACUCGUGACUGGUGACUGGGAGCUCGUGAGUCGCGACUCGUGACUAGUGACUGGUGACUGGGGACUGGUGACUGGGGACUGGUGACUGGGGACUGGUGACUGGGGACUGGUGACUGGGGACUGGUGACUGGGGACUGGUGACUAUUGACUGGGGGCUCGUGAGUCGCGACUCGUGACUUGUGACUGGUGACUCGUGACUGGUGACUGGGAGCUCGUGAGUCGCGACUCGUGACUAGUGACUGGUGACUGGGGACUGGUGACUAUUGACUGGGGGCUCGUGAGUCGCGACUCGUGACUUGUGACUGGUGACUCGUGACUGGUGACUGGGAGCUCGUGAGUCGCGACUCGUGACUAGUGACUGGUGACUGGGGACUGGUGACUAUUGACUGGGGGCUCGUGAGUCGCGACUCGUGACUUGUGACUGGUGACUCGUGACUGGUGACUGGGAGCUCGUGAGUCGCGACUCGUGACUAGUGACUGGUGACUGGGGACUGGUGACUAUUGACUGGGGGCUCGUGAGUCGCGACUCGUGACUUGUGACUGGUGACUCGUGACUGGUGACUGGGAGCUCGUGAGUCGCGACUCGUGACUAGUGACUGGUGACUGGGGACUGGUGACUAUUGACUGGGGGCUCGUGAGUCGCGACUCGUGACUUGUGACUGGUGACUCGUGACUGGUGACUGGGAGCUCGUGAGUCGCGACUCGUGACUAGUGACUGGUGACUGGGGACUGGUGACUAUUGACUGGGGGCUCGUGAGUCGCGACUCGUGACUUGUGACUGGUGACUCGUGACUGGUGACUGGGAGCUCGUGAGUCGCGACUCGUGACUAGUGACUGGUGACUGGGGACUGGUGACUGGGGACUGGUGACUGGGGACUGGUGACUGGGGACUGGUGACUGGGGACUGGUGACUGGGGACUGGUGACUGGGGACUGGUGACUGGGGACUGGUGACUGGGGACUGGUGACUGGGGACUGGUGACUGGGGACUGGUGACUGGGGACUGGUGACUGGGGACUGGUGACUGGGGACUGGUGACUGGGGACUGGUGACUGGGGACUGGUGACUAUUGACUGGGGGCUCGUGAGUCGCGACUCGUGACUAGUGACUGGUGACUGGGGACUGGUGACUGGGGACUGGUGACUGGGGACUGGUGACUGGGGACUGGUGACUGGGGACUGGUGACUGGGGACUGGUGACUGGGGACUGGUGACUGGGGACUGGUGACUGGGGACUGGUGACUGGGGACUGGUGACUGGGGACUGGUGACUGGGGACUGGUGACUGGGGACUGGUGACUAUUGACUGGGGGCUCGUGAGUCGCGACUCGUGACUUGUGACUGGUGACUCGUGACUGGUGACUGGGAGCUCGUGAGUCGCGACUCGUGACUAGUGACUGGUGACUGGGGACUGGUGACUGGGGACUGGUGACUGGGGACUGGUGACUGGGGACUGGUGACUGGGGACUGGUGACUGGGGACUGGUGACUGGGGACUGGUGACUGGGGACUGGUGACUGGGGACUGGUGACUGGGGACUGGUGACUGGGGACUGGUGACUGGGGACUGGUGACUAUUGACUGGGGGCUCGUGAGUCGCGACUCGUGACUUGUGACUGGUGACUCGUGACUGGUGACUGGGAGCUCGUGAGUCGCGACUCGUGACUAGUGACUGGUGACUGGGGACUGGUGACUAUUGACUGGGGGCUCGUGAGUCGCGACUCGUGACUUGUGACUGGUGACUCGUGACUGGUGACUGGGAGCUCGUGAGUCGCGACUCGUGACUAGUGACUGGUGACUGGGGACUGGUGACUGGGGACUGGUGACUGGGGACUGGUGACUGGGGACUGGUGACUAUUGACUGGGGGCUCGUGAGUCGCGACUCGUGACUUGUGACUGGUGACUCGUGACUGGUGACUGGGAGCUCGUGAGUCGCGACUCGUGACUAGUGACUGGUGACUGGGGACUGGUGACUGGGGACUGGUGACUGGGGACUGGUGACUGGGGACUGGUGACUGGGGACUGGUGACUGGGGACUGGUGACUGGGGACUGGUGACUGGGGACUGGUGACUGGGGACUGGUGACUGGGGACUGGUGACUAUUGACUGGGGGCUCGUGAGUCGCGACUCGUGACUUGUGACUGGUGACUCGUGACUGGUGACUGGGAGCUCGUGAGUCGCGACUCGUGACUAGUGACUGGUGACUGGGGACUGGUGACUAUUGACUGGGGGCUCGUGAGUCGCGACUCGUGACUUGUG